UGGGGAAUAUUGCACAAUGGGCGCAAGCCUGAUGCAGCGACGCCGCGUGCGGGAUGACGGCCUUCGGGUUGUAAACCGCCUUUGAUCGGGAGCAAGCCUUCGGGUGAGUGUACCUUUCGAAUAAGCACCGGCUAACUACGUGCCAGCAGCCGCGGUAAUACGUAGGGUGCAAGCGUUAUCCGGAAUUAUUGGGCGUAAAGGGCUCGUAGGCGGUUCGUCGCGUCCGGUGUGAAAGUCCAUCGCUUAACGGUGGAUCUGCGCCGGGUACGGGCGGGCUGGAGUGCGGUAGGGGAGACUGGAAUUCCCGGUGUAACGGUGGAAUGUGUAGAUAUCGGGAAGAACACCAAUGGCGAAGGCAGGUCUCUGGGCCGUUACUGACGCUGAGGAGCGAAAGCGUGGGGAGCGAACAGGAUUAGAUACCCUGGUAGUCCACGCCGUAAACGGUGGAUGCUGGAUGUGGGGCCCGUUCCACGGGUUCCGUGUCGGAGCUAACGCGUUAAGCAUCCCGCCUGGGGAGUACGGCCGCAAGGCUAAAACUCAAAGAAAUUGACGGGGGCCCGCACAAGCGGCGGAGCAUGCGGAUUAAUUCGAUGCAACGCGAAGAACCUUACCUGGGCUUGACAUGUUCCCGACAGCCGUAGAGAUGCGGCCUCCCUUCGGGGCGGGUUCACAGGUGGUGCAUGGUCGUCGUCAGCUCGUGUCGUGAGAUGUUGGGUUAAGUCCCGCAACGAGCGCAACCCUCGCCCUGUGUUGCCAGCACGUCAUGGUGGGAACUCACGGGGGACCGCCGGGGUCAACUCGGAGGAAGGUGGGGAUGACGUCAGAUCAUCAUGCCCCUUACGUCCAGGGCUUCACGCAUGCUACAAUGGCCGGUACAACGGGAUGCGACAUGGCGACAUGGAGCGGAUCCCUGAAAACCGGUCUCAGUUCGGAUUGGAGUCUGCAACCCGACUCCAUGAAGGCGGAGUCGCUAGUAAUCGCGGAUCAGCAACGCCGCGGUGAAUGCGUUCCC
rnacentral:rRNA from 1 species